rnacentral:rRNA from 1 species
AUUGAACGCUGGCGGCAUGCUUUACACAUGCAAGUCGAGCGGUAACAGGCCUUCGGGUGCUGACGAGUGGCGAACGGGUGAGUAAUGCAUCGGAACGUACCCAGAGGUGGGGGAUAACGCAGCGAAAGCUGUGCUAAUACCGCAUGUGAUCUGAGGAUGAAAGCGGGGGACCGAGCAGCAAAGUUUGGCCUCGCGCCUUUGGAGCGGCCGAUGUCGGAUUAGCUAGUUGGUGGGGUAAAGGCCUACCAAGGCGACGAUCCGUAGCUGGUCUGAGAGGACGACCAGCCACACUGGGACUGAGACACGGCCCAGACUCCUACGGGAGGCAGCAGUGGGGAAUUUUGGACAAUGGGCGCAAGCCUGAUCCAGCAAUGCCGCGUGCGGGAAGAAGGCCUUCGGGUUGUAAACCGCUUUUGGCAGGAACGAAACGGUGUCCGCUAAUACCGGGCGCUAAUGACGGUACCUGCAGAAUAAGCACCGGCUAACUACGU